rnacentral:rRNA from 1 species
CUACUGCUAUCGGGGUGGGACUAAAACAUGCGAGUCAAACGUCUUACAGCUACGAGUGAGAUGUGGCAUACGGCUCAGUAACACGUGGCUAACCCAACCUCGAGAUGGAGACAAUCCCGGGAAACUGGGGCUAAUCUCCAAUAGAUGAGAAGUCCUGGAAUGGUUUUUCGUUCAAAAGGUGUCGCGAUCACGCUUUGCGACACUGCUCGAGGAUGGGGCCGCGUCCGAUCAGGUAGUUGGUGAGGUAACGGCUCACCAAGCCUAUAACCGGUCCGGGCCGUGGGAGCGGGAGCCCGGAGAUGGGCACUGAGACAAGGGCCCAGGCCCUACGGGGCGCAGCAGUUGCGAAAACUCCGCAAUACACGGAAGUGUGACGGGGCUACCCCGAGUGCCGUCCGCUGAGGAUGGCUUUUCUUUGCUGUAGGAAUGCAGAGGAAUAAGGAGAGGGCAAGUCUGGUGUCAGCCGCCGCGGUAAUACCAGCUCUCCAAGUGGUAGGGAUGAUUAUUGGGCUUAAAGCGUCCGUAGCCGGCUCGACAAGUCUCUCGUUAAAUCCAACGAUCUAAUCGUUGGACUGCGGGAGAUACUGCUGGGCUAGGAGGCGGGAGAAGCCGACGGUAUUCCCGGGGUAGGGGUAAAAUCCUAUAAUGCCGGGAGGACCACCAGUGGCGUAGGCGGUCGGCUAGCACGUGCUCGACGGUGAGGGACGAAAGCUUGGGGAGCGAACCGGAUUAGAUACCCGGGUAGUCCAAGCUGUAAACGAUGCGGGCUAGGGUGUUUGAAGCGGCUACGAGCCCGCUUCAGGUGCCGCAGGAAAACCAUUAAACCCCGCCGCCUGGGGGAGUAC